GUGCCCAAGUGUUCUCAUUGUUCAAUUCCCACCUAUGAGUGAGAACAUGCAGUGUUUGGUUUUCUGUCCUUGCAAUAGUUUGCUGAGAAUGAUGGUUUCCAGCUUCAUCCAUGUCCCUACAAAGGACAUGAACUCAUCUUUUUAUGGCUGCAUAGUAUUCCAUGGUGUAUAUGUGCCACAUUUUCUUAAUCCAUUCUAUCAUUGAUGGACAUUUGGAUUGGUUCCAAGUCUUUGCUAUUGUGAAUAGUGCUGCAAUAAACAUAUGCGUGCAUGUGUCUUUAUAGCCACAUGAUUUAUAGUCCUUUGGGUACAUGCCCAGUAAUGGGAUGGCUGGGUCAAAUGGUAUUUCUAGUUCUAGAUCCUUGAGGAAUCGUCACACUGUCUUCCACAAUUGUUGAAUUAGUUUACAGUCCCACCAACAGUGUAAAAGUGUUCCUAUUUCUCCACAUCCUCUCCAGCACCUGUUGUUUCCUGACUUUUUAAUGAUCGCCAUUCUAACUGGUGUGAGAUGGUAUCUCAUUGUGGUUUUGAUUUGUAUUUCUCUGAUGACCAGUGAUGAUGAGCAUUUUUUCAUGUGUCUGUUGGCUGCAUAAAUGUCUUCCUUUGAGAACUGUCUGUUGAUAUCCUUUGCCCACUUUUUGAUGGGGUUGUUUGAUUUUUUCUUGUAAAUUUGUUUAAGUUCUUUGUAGAUUCUGGAUAUUAGCCCUUUGUCAGAUGGGCUAAUAUCUGACAUUAUUAUUGUAAACAUUUUCUCUCAUUCUGUAGGAUGCCUGUUCACUCUGAUGGUAGUUUCUUUUGCUGUGCAGAAGCUCUUUAGUUUAAUUAGAUCCCAUUGGUUAAUUUUGGCUUUUGUUGCCAUUGUUUUUGGUGUUUUAGUCAUGAAGUCCUUGCCCAUGCCUAUGGCCUGCAUGUAUUGCCUAGGUUUUCUUCGAGGGUUUUUAUGGUUUUAGGUCUAAUAUUUAAGUCUUUAAUCCAUCUUGAAUUAAUUUUUGUACAAGGUGUAAGGAAAGGGUCCAGUUUCAGCUUUCUACGUAUGGCUAGCCAGUUUUCCCAGCACCAUUUAUUAAAUAGGGAAUCCUUUCCCCAUUUCUUGUUUUUGUCAGGUUUGUCAAAGAUCAGACAGUCGUAGAUGUGUGGUAUUAUUUCUGAGGACUCUAUUCUGUUCCAUUGGUCUAUAUCUCUGUUUUGGUGCCAGUACCAUGCUGUUUUGGUUACUGUAUCCUUGUAGUAUAGUUUUAAAUCACGUAGUGUGAUGCCUCCAGCUUUGUUCUUUCAGCUUAGGAUUGACUUGGCGAUGUGGGCUCUUUUUUUGGUUCCAUAUGAACUUUAAAGUAGUUUUUUCCAAUUCUGUGAAGAAAGUCACUGGUAGCUUGAUGGGGAUGACAUUGAAUCUAUAAAUUACCAUGGGCAGUAUGGCUGUGUUGCACAGGCUAGCCUCAAACUCCUGAACUCAAGUGACCCUCCUGUCUCAGCCUCGCAAAUAGCUGGGACUAUAGAAAUAUGCCACUGUGCCUGUCUCCUAUUCUCUUUUCUUGUAUUAGAAUUUUGUGGCUGCAUGUUACAAAUGUAAGCAAAGGAGAAAAAUCCAUCAGGCAUAGUGGCUCACAUCUGUAAUCCCAGUACUUUGGGAGACUGAGGUGGGAGGAUUGCUUGAGGCCAGGAGUUUGAGAUCAGUCUGGGCAACAUAGCAAGACCCUACCUCUAUAAAAAUAAAAUUUUCAAAAUUAGCCACGUGUGGUGGUGCAUGCCUAUAGUCCCAGCUACUCAGGAAGGUGAAGCAGGAGAAUCUCUUGAGCCCAGGAGGUUGAGGCUGCAGUGAGCUUUGAUCACAUCAUUGCACUCUAGCCUGGGUGACAGAGUGAGACCCUGUCUCAAAAAAUGGUGGCGGGGGAGGGGGGAGUGAGAAUUUAUUGGAAGAAUACUGAGUUAUUUCAUUUAACUAAGCCAAGGAAAUAAAUUAUUGUAGAAACAAAUAAUAAAAUUUUAUGUUGCUGUUUAAAAAAUUGAGACAGCAGUAUACCUGCUUGUAUGGCAAGACAGUCAAGAUGUAAUGUUAAGUUAGGGAAUACUGCUUAUAUCAUGAUCCCACUGGGUUAAGAAAUGUUUAUAAAUGGAUAUACAAAUUUUGGAAGUAUAUGCAAGUAAAUAUUAACAAUGAUUUCUGUAGGGAGUAAGGUCACCAGAACGGGAGGGGUGUCAGUGGAUUUUACCUUCAUUUAUUCUCUUCUUGAGAACUAUUUGUACAUUGUGAGCUUUGACAGCCAUAGAGGUAUGCCACCCAGACCUCCCUUAAGAAAACCUGCUGUAAAAUGGUGCAGCUGCUAUGGAAAACAGCAUGGAAGUUUCUCCAAAAAUACAACUACGAUAUGAUUCAGCAAUACUACUUCUGGGUAUUUAUCAAAAAACAAACAAACAAACAAACAAAUACACACACAAAACUUGAAAUCGAGAUCUUGGAUGUCUGCCCUUCCGUGUUCAUUUGCAGCACUAUUCUUAGCCAAGGACUGGAAACAACCUAAAGUCUAUUGACCAAUGAAUGGAUUUAAAAAAUGUAGUAUAUACACACAUGGAAUAUUAUUCAGCUUUAAAAAAGGAAAUCCUGCAAUAUGCAACAACAUAAUGAACUUGAGGACAUUAUGCUAAGAGAAUAAGCCAGUCCCAGAAGGAUAAAUACUCCAUGACUCCACUUAUAUGAGGUCUCUAAAAUACUCAAACUUAUAGAAACAGAGAGUAGAAUGGUGGUUGCAGGAAAUGGGAAGUUGCUAAUCAAUGGAUAUAACAUUUCAAUUAUGCAAGGUGAAUUCUAGAGCUCUGCUAUACAAUAUUGUGCCUGUAGAUGACAAUACUGCAUUGUGCGCUUAAAAUGCCAUUGAGUAGAACUCAUGUUAGGUGUUCUUGCCACAGUAAAACAAUGUUAAUGCAUACAUAAUGAAAAUUAUUUUUUAAUUCAUGUCAAAGAAAAACAGAGAAGGAAGGAAAGAAGGAAGGAAGGAAGGCAGGCAGGCAGGCAGGCCUCUAUGAGAAACAUAGUUCCCUGGCCAGCCUCUAGCUGCUGUUUUUUUUGUGGGGGAGUGGGGAUGGAGUCUCACUCUGUUGCCCAGGUUGAAGUGCAGUGGUACAAUCUCAGCUCACUGCAACCUCUGCCUGCCAGGUUCAAGCGAUUCUCCUGCUUCAGCCUCCUGAGUAGCUGGGGUUACAAGCAUGAACCACCAUGUUUGGCUAAUUUUUUCUUUUUCUUUCUUUCUUUCUUUCUUUCUUUCUUUCUUUCUUUCUUUCUUUUUUUUUUGAGACAGAUUCUUGCUCCGUAGCCCGAGCUAGAGUGCAGUGGUGCAAUCUUGGCUCAUUACAACCUCCGUCUCCCAGGUUCAAGUGAUUCUCCUGCCUCAGCCUCCUGAGUAGCUGGGACUACAGUGGCGAGCCACCAUGCCCAGCUAGUUUUUGUAUUUUUAGUAGAGACGGGGUUUCACUGUGUUGGUCAGGCUGGUCUCGAACUCCUGACCUCAGGUGAUCUGCCUGCAUCGGCCUCCCAAAGUGCUGGGAUUACAGGCAUGAGCCACUGUGCCCGGCCACGCCUGGCUAAUUUUUUGUAUUUUUAGUAGAGAAAGGGUUUCACCAUGUUGGCUAGUCUGGUUUCAAACUCCUGACCUCAAGUGAUUUGCCUGCCUUGGGCUCUCAAAGUGCUAGGAUUACAGGUGUGAGCCAUCAUGCCCAGCCAGCUGCCAUUUUUGGAUCCACCUCAGUUCUCACACUGAGGCCACUUUCUGGUUUACUUCCACUCAAUGACUGCACACAGUAGGGGUACUAAGUGUGAGGUACAUAAUACACAGCCACUGAUUUAGUAAAUGCAUUUUUUCCCCUACUUCUAUCAGGAAAGAGACUAGAAAUAGUUCACAUCCAUGUGGGACGACAAUAUUUACUCAGUUUUGCCCCAAGAAUAAUAUUUGCUCCUUUGAUGAUAAAAUGUGAAUUAUAGGCUGUUAUAGUUUGGAUAUUUGUCCCCACCCACAUCUCAUGUUGAAUUGUAAUCCCCAGUGCUGAAUGUGGGGCCUGCCCAGAGGUGUUUGGAUCAUGGGGGUGGAUCCCUCAUAGCUUGGUACUGUCUUUUCAGUUCUCUCGAGAUCUAGUCAUUUAAAAGUGUGUAGCAUCUGCCCCCUGACCUUGUUCCUGCUUUCACCAUGUGAUGUGCCUGCUUCCCCUUUGCCUUCUGCCACGAUUGGAAGUUUCCUGAGGCCUCCCCAGAAGCAGAUGCUGCUAUGCUUCCUGUACAGCCUGUAGAACCAUGAGCCAAUUAAACCUCUUUUCUUAUAAAUUACCCAGUCUCAGCUAUUUCUGUAUAGCAAUCUAAGAGAAAAUUGGCACCGGGGUGGGGAAUUACUAUAAAGAUACCUGAAAAUGUGGAAGUCAUUUUGGAACUAUGUAACAGGCAGAGGCUGAAAGAGUUUGGAAGGCUCAGAAAAAGACAGGAAGAUGAGGGAAGGUUUAAAACUUCUUAGAGACUGGUUAAAUUGUUGUGACCAAAAUGCUGAUAGUGAUAUGGACAGCGAGAUCCAAGCUGCUGAGUCUCAGAUGGAAAUGAUGAAGAAAGUUGGAGCUUACAUUUAAAAGGGAAGCAGAAUAUAAAAGUUUGGAAAUUUUGUAGUCUGCCCAUGUGGCAAAGAAAGAAAAAGCUUUCUCAAAAGAGGGAUACAAGCAGGCUGUGGAGCAACCACUUGCUAGAGAUAUUUGCGUAAUUAAAAAGGAGUGAGGCCGGGCGCGGUGGUUCACCCCUGUAAUCCCAGCACUUUGGGAGGCCGAGGCUGGCGGAUCAUGAGGUCAGGAGAUAGCGACCAUCCUGGCUAACACGGUGAAACCCCAUCUCUACUAAAAAUACAAAAAAUUAACCAGGUUCAGUGGCGGGUGCCUGUAGUCCCAGCUACUCGGGAGUCUGGGGCAGGAGAAUGGUAUGAACCUGGGAGGCGGAGCUUGCAGUGAGCCGAGAUCGCGCCACUGCACUCCGGCCUGGGCAAAAGAGCGAGACUCCGUCUAAAAAAAAAAGGAGCCAGUGCUAAUGUGUCUGGAAUUGGUGGGUUCUUGGUCACACUGACUUCAAGAAUGAAACUGCGGACCCUUGCGGUGAGUGUUACAGCUCUUAAGGUGGUGUGUCUGGAGUUUGUUCCUUCUGAUGUUCGGAUGUGUUCGGAGUUUCUUCCUUCUGGUGGGUUCGUGGUCUCGCUGGCUCAGGAGUGAAGCUGCAGACCUUUGCGGUGAGUGUUACAGCUCUUAAGGCGGCACAUCUGGAGUUGUUCGUUCCUCCCGGCGGGCUCGUGGUCUCGCUGGCUUCAGGAGUGAAGCUGCAGGCCUUCGUGGUGAGUGUUACAGCUCAUAAAAGCAGCAUGGACCCAAAGAGUGAGCAGUAGCAAGAUUUAUUGCAAAGAGCAAAAGAACAAAGCUUCCACAGUGUGGAAGGGGACCCAAGCGGGUUGCCACUGCUGGCUGGGGCAGCCUGGUUUCAUUCUCUUAUCUGGCCCCACCCACGUCCUGCUGAUUGGUAGAGCCCAGUGGUCUGUUUUGACAGGGCGCUGAUUGGUGCGUUUACAAUCCCUGAGCUGGAUACAAAGGUUCUCCACGUCCCCAUCAGAUUAGAUACAGAGUAUCCACACAAAGGUUCUCCAAGGCCCCACCAGAGCAGAUAGAUACAGAGUGUCCAUUGGUGCACUCACAAACCCUGAGCUAGACACAGGGUGCUGAUUGGUGUGUUUACAAACCUUGAGCUAGAUACAGAGUGCCGAUUGGUGUAUUUACAAUCCCUGAGCUAGACAUAAAGGUUCUUCACGGCCCCACCAGAGCAGCUAGAUACAGAGUGUCAAUUGGUGCACUCACAAACCCUGAGCUAGACACAGGGUGCUGACUGGUGUGUUUACAAACCUUGAGCUAGAUACAGAGUGCCGAUUGGUGUAUUUAUGUCUAGCUCAGGGAUUGUAAAGGUUCUCCAAAGCCCCACCAGAUUCAGGAGCCCAGCUGGCUUCACCCGGUGAAUCCCGCACCGGGGCUGCAGGUGGAGCUGCCUGCCAGUCCCCUGCGUGCGCCCGCACUCCUCAGCCCUUGGGUGGUCGAUGGGACUGGGUGCCGUGGAGCAGGGGGUGGCCCUCGUCGAGGAGACUCGGGCUGCACAGGAGCCCAUGGAGGGGGUGGGAGG
rnacentral:lncRNA from 1 species